GAUGAACGCUGGCGGCGUGCCUAAUACAUGCAAGUCGAGCGAACGGACGAGAAGCUUGCUUCUCUGAUGUUAGCGGCGGACGGGUAAGUAACACGUGGAUAACCUACCUAUAAGACUGGGAUAACUUCGGGAAACCGGAGCUAAUACCGGAUAAUAUUUUGAACCGCAUGGUUCAAAAGUGAAAGACGGUCUUGCUGUCACUUAUAGAUGGAUCCGCGCUGCAUUAGCUAGUUGGUAAGGUAACGGCUUACCAAGGCAACGAUGCAUAGCCGACCUGAGAGGGCGAUCGGCCACACUGGAACUGAGACACGGUCCAGACUCCUACGGGAGGCAGCAGUAGGGAAUCUUCCGCAAUGGGCGAAAGCCUGACGGAGCAACGCCGCGUGAGUGAUGAAGGUCUUCGGAUCGUAAAACUCUGUUAUUAGGGAAGAACAUAUGUGUAAGUAACUGUGCACAUCUUGACGGUACCUAAUCAGAAAGCCACGGCUAACUACGUG
rnacentral:rRNA from 1 species